UCUUCAAAACGAUCCGAGAGCCGCACCCCAAUCCAUGAUCCGUUCAACACCACCAGCCAAAGUGACAAUGGUGGCAUCCAUGUUGGAGGAUCAGUGGCUUCGAAUGACAUUCCACCACCUCUAGAACCUAGAGAAUGGAGAAGGCAACGGGAUAGGAACCGAUACAAGCUAAUGUCUAUCCAAAAGAAGGAAGAAUUACUAAAGAAGCGACGUGAAAAUUACCAACGAAGUAAAUCUGCACCUGCUAACGUUGAAGUUGGACGCAACCAAUUACUAGGCGAAAAUAUUGCUUCUGAUGAAAAUAGAGUAGAACAGAGACCAGAAUUAACGGGUGAGCAAACUGAAUCAAGGCGUGCAAAAGAUAGGGCACGAUAUGCAAAUGUGACACCUAAGCAGAGACAAGCAAUGCGUGAUCGUCAAAAUGCGCGUAAUAUGAAGCCUGAACAGAAGGAGGCGAAGAGAGACCAAUAUAAAGCACGUCGAGAAUUACGUCGCAACACUCUACAUAAAGACUCAAUAGCAAUGGUGAACCCUAGAUAUAACCCAAUGUGACUCCCCAUAAUAUAUAUUCGAUUUGUGUGCUCCUACAAUAGGGAUGAAUA